GCAAUGGGCGAAAGCCUGACGGAGCGACGCCGCGUGCGGGAUGAAGGCCUUCGGGUUGUAAACCGCUGUCAGUGGGGAGGAAAUCUGUGGGGGUUCUCCCCCGCAGUUGACCUAACCGCAGAGGAAGUCCGGGCUAAGUACGUGCCAGCAGCCGCGGUAAUACGUACCGGACGAACGUUAUUCGGAAUUACUGGGCUUAAAGAGUGCGUAGGCGGCUCACCAGGUGGGGUGUGAAAUCCCACGGCUCAACCGUGGAAUGGCGCCCCAAACCGGCGAGCUUGAGGAAGAUAGGGGUGAGCGGAACUGAUGGUGGAGCGGUGAAAUGCGUUGAUAUCAUCAGGAACACCGGUGGCGAAGGCGGCUCACUGGGUCUUAUCUGACGCUGAGGCACGAAAGCUAGGGUAGCGAACGGGAUUAGAUACCCCGGUAGUCCUAGCUGUAAACGAUGAGCACUAGAUCGUGGGGGCUUCCACACCCUCAUGGUCGUAGCGAAAGUGUUAAGUGCUCCGCCUGGGGAG
rnacentral:rRNA from 1 species